rnacentral:rRNA from 1 species
CCUACGGGUGACAGCAGUGGGGAAUAUUGCACAAUGGGGGAAACCCUGAUGCAGCGACGCCGCGUGAGUGAAGACGUAUUUCGGUAUGUAAAGCUCUAUCAGCAGGGAAGAUAAUGACGGUACCUGACUAAGAAGCCACGGCUAACUACGUGCCAGCAGCCGCGGUAAUACGUAGGGGGCAAGCGUUAUCCGGAUUUACUGGGUGUAAAGGGGGCGUAGGUGGCAGGGCAAGUCAGAUGUGAAAGCCUGGGGCUCAACCCCGGUACUGCAUUUGAAACUGUCCAGCUGGAGUGCAGGAGAGGUAAGCGGAAUUCCUAGUGUAGCGGUGAAAUGCGUAGAUAUUAGGAGGAACACCAGUGGCGAAGGCGGUUUACUGGACUGUAACUGACACUGAGGCACGAAAGCGUGAGGAGCAAACAGGAUUAGAUACCCUAGUAGUC